UACCAGCACCCCGAGUGGUCGGGACGUUUAUUGGACCUAAAGCAUCCGUAGCCGGUCCUGCAAGUCUUCCGUUAAAUCCAGCUGCUCAACAGAUGGGCUGCGGGGGAUACUACAGGGCUAGGAGGCGGGAGAGGCAAGCGGUACUUUAUGGGUAGGGGUAAAAUCCGUUGAUCCAUAGAAGACCACCAGUGGCGAAGGCGGCUUGCCAGAACGCGCUCGACGGUGAGGGAUGAAAGCUGGGGGAGCAAACCGG
rnacentral:rRNA from 1 species